CCUACGGGAGGCAGCAGUGGGGAAUCUUCCACAAUGGGCGCAAGCCUGAUGCAGCAACGCCGCGUGGGUGAAGAAGGUCUUCGGAUCGUAAAACCCUGUUGUUAGAGAAGAAAGUGCGUGUGAGUAACUGUUCACGUUUCGACGGUAUCUAACCAGAAAGCCACGGCUAACUACGUGCCAGCAGCCGCGGGAAUACGUAGGUGGCAAGCGUUAUCCGGAUUUAUUGGGCGUAAAGGGAACGCAGGCGGUCUUUUAAGGCUGAUGUGAAAGCCUUCGGCUUAACCGGAGUAGUGCAUUGGAAACUGGGAGACUUGAGUGCAGGAGAGGAGAGUGGAACUCGAGGUGUAGCGGUGAAAUGCGUAGAUAUAUGGAAGAACACCAGUGGCGAAGGCGGCUCUCUGGUCUGUAACUGACGCUGAGGUUCGAAAGCGUGGGUAGCAAACAGGAUUAGAUACCCGGGUAGUC
rnacentral:rRNA from 1 species